CAGCGCCUGACACAUGCAAGUCGAACGAGACCUUCGGGUCUAGAGGCGCACGGGUGCGUAACGCGUGGGAAUCUGCCCUUGGGUUCGGAAUAACGUUGGGAAACUGACGCUAAUACCGGAUGAUGACGUAAGUCCAAAGAUUUAUCGCCCAAGGAUGAGCCCGCGUAGGAUUAGCUAGUUGGUAAGGUAAAGGCUUACCAAGGCGACGAUCCUUAGCUGGUCUGAGAGGAUGAUCAGCCACACUGGGACUGAGACACGGCCCAGACUCCUACGGGAGGCAGCAGUGGGGAAUAUUGGACAAUGGGCGAAAGCCUGAUCCAGCAAUGCCGCGUGAGUGAUGAAGGCCUUAGGGUUGUAAAGCUCUUUUACCCGGGAUGAUAAUGACAGUACCGGGAGAAUAAGCUCCGGCUAACUCCGUGCCAGCAGCCGCGGUAAU
rnacentral:rRNA from 1 species